rnacentral:misc_RNA from 1 species
CUUCCGCAACAUCGCUGGCGAGCUUUUAGCACGUUUGGAAGUUUCACACGGGUAACUUCUGCAAUAGAAAAUGUUUGUAGGGCACUAAUACAAAUGCUGCUGUGCUUCAGUUGUAGUAGUGUGGUGGCUACAAAAAAUCAGCUGAUCCUAAAGUUUGACAUUUUGAUAAAUAUUACGUCUACAUCCAAAGUAAAUUAAUAAAGUAGCGAUAUCUCUUGUUGUACAACAACAUCUACAACAAUCAAAAUUUACUUUGUCUACAUCCAAAGUAAAUUAACCCAUUUACAGCCACUCAAAAGGUACAAGUAAAAACUUUUAAACAUCAAUGUAUAUUUAUUUUCAACAAUGCAAAAAGACAGAAACGUAAAAAAAAUUUUAAAAAAUAUUAAUAUUCUAGACAUUAGAGAGGAUUUUCGCUUUUAUGUAGCUCGCGUUUUUUACCGGUUUAGAGCUGUCAUAAAAACUAUAAACAGAUUUAAAUGGCAGACACGGCCAUUACUAUGUUAUCACAUUAUUUUUAGACCAUUUGCUUCAAAUUAAUCAAACUAACAUUGUACCCUAAAUUUAACUACAACCUAUAAACCUUUGAAUUAAAAUAAACCCUGAAUUGUUUAAGAAAAUAAAUAUUCUUAUUACUGUGGAAAGUCUCAUAAAAGGUGAGGCGUUGUUAAUAAUUAAGAAUCAGCUACCCAAAAUUAAUUAAAUUUUCUCUAUAUUUCUCUUUCUUUAAUCCCACACCAAAUCCCCAUAUUAUAAUUACUCUGAUUAUAAGCGUAAUUAUAAUAAUCAUCUCUAUUAUAGAUUGAUAUUAUCCCGCCAAACCAUCUGUAAAAGAGAUUAUAAAAUACAAACCCCAAUUGUAUUCAUGGUCUUCUCGCUGUAAGCUACAACAACAUCUACAUACAUGAGAAAAAUGAGACCUAACCGAAAAUUUGAAACCACCAGUCCAGCAACAAGGCGUCGCAACCAGACAACUAGAGGAAGACACAGUGACCCCGAUAAUUAUAAGUGUGCUUGUGCAGAAAUUUGCACGCCCUAAAGUUCUGUCGGAAAUUCUUGAGAAUGGACACCAAGAGAAGUGAGGCAGUAGUGGAAAAAUACCGCUACUGCUGUAACGUGGUUUUGUCUUCGGCUGAGGUAACUUAGUCGCGUCCAGGGUCGACUUACGGAUCCACAAACCUUAAGUAAUAACACGAUAUAUUUACCCUUUC